GGUUAAGCGACUAAGCGUACACGGUGGAUGCCCUGGCAGUCAGAGGCGAUGAAGGACGUGCUAAUCUGCGAUAAGCGUCGGUAAGGUGAUAUGAACCGUUAUAACCGGCGAUUUCCGAAUGGGGAAACCCAGUGUGAUUCGUCACACUAUCAUUAACUGAAUCCAUAGGUUAAUGAGGCGAACCGGGGGAACUGAAACAUCUAAGUACCCCGAGGAAAAGAAAUCAACCGAGAUUCCCCCAGUAGCGGCGAGCGAACGGGGAGCAGCCCAGAGCCUGAAUCAGUGUGUGUGUUAGUGGAAGCGUCUGGAAAGGCGCGCGAUACAGGGUGACAGCCCCGUACACAAAAAUGCACAUGCUGUGAGCUCGAUGAGUAGGGCGGGACACGUGGUAUCCUGUCUGAAUAUGGGGGGACCAUCCUCCAAGGCUAAAUACUCCUGACUGACCGAUAGUGAACCAGUACCGUGAGGGAAAGGCGAAAAGAACCCCGGCGAGGGGAGUGAAAAAGAACCUGAAACCGUGUACGUACAAGCAGUGGGAGCACAGAGCAAUCUGUGUGACUGCGUACCUUUUGUAUAAUGGGUCAGCGACUUAUAUUCUGUAGCAAGGUUAACCGAAUAGGGGAGCCGAAGGGAAACCGAGUCUUAACUGGGCGUUAAGUUGCAGGGUAUAGACCCGAAACCCGGUGAUCUAGCCAUGGGCAGGUUGAAGGUUGGGUAACACUAACUGGAGGACCGAACCGACUAAUGUUGAAAAAUUAGCGGAUGACUUGUGGCUGGGGGUGAAAGGCCAAUCAAACCGGGAGAUAGCUGGUUCUCCCCGAAAGCUAUUUAGGUAGCGCCUCGUGAAUUCAUCUCCGGGGGUAGAGCACUGUUUCGGCAAGGGGGUCAUCCCGACUUACCAACCCGAUGCAAACUGCGAAUACCGGAGAAUGUUAUCACGGGAGACACACGGCGGGUGCUAACGUCCGUCGUGAAGAGGGAAACAACCCAGACCGCCAGCUAAGGUCCCAAAGUCAUGGUUAAGUGGGAAACGAUGUGGGAAGGCCCAGACAGCCAGGAUGUUGGCUUAGAAGCAGCCAUCAUUUAAAGAAAGCGUAAUAGCUCACUGGUCGAGUCGGCCUGCGCGGAAGAUGUAACGGGGCUAAACCAUGCACCGAAGCUGCGGCAGCGACGCUUAUGCGUUGUUGGGUAGGGGAGCGUUCUGUAAGCCUGCGAAGGUGUGCUGUGAGGCAUGCUGGAGGUAUCAGAAGUGCGAAUGCUGACAUAAGUAACGAUAAAGCGGGUGAAAAGCCCGCUCGCCGGAAGACCAAGGGUUCCUGUCCAACGUUAAUCGGGGCAGGGUGAGUCGACCCCUAAGGCGAGGCCGAAAGGCGUAGUCGAUGGGAAACAGGUUAAUAUUCCUGUACUUGGUGUUACUGCGAAGGGGGGACGGAGAAGGCUAUGUUGGCCGGGCGACGGUUGUCCCGGUUUAAGCGUGUAGGCUGGUUUUCCAGGCAAAUCCGGAAAAUCAAGGCUGAGGCGUGAUGACGAGGCACUACGGUGCUGAAGCAACAAAUGCCCUGCUUCCAGGAAAAGCCUCUAAGCAUCAGGUAACAUCAAAUCGUACCCCAAACCGACACAGGUGGUCAGGUAGAGAAUACCAAGGCGCUUGAGAGAACUCGGGUGAAGGAACUAGGCAAAAUGGUGCCGUAACUUCGGGAGAAGGCACGCUGAUAUGUAGGUGAAGUCCCUCGCGGAUGGAGCUGAAAUCAGUCGAAGAUACCAGCUGGCUGCAACUGUUUAUUAAAAACACAGCACUGUGCAAACACGAAAGUGGACGUAUACGGUGUGACGCCUGCCCGGUGCCGGAAGGUUAAUUGAUGGGGUUAGCGCAAGCGAAGCUCUUGAUCGAAGCCCCGGUAAACGGCGGCCGUAACUAUAACGGUCCUAAGGUAGCGAAAUUCCUUGUCGGGUAAGUUCCGACCUGCACGAAUGGCGUAAUGAUGGCCAGGCUGUCUCCACCCGAGACUCAGUGAAAUUGAACUCGCUGUGAAGAUGCAGUGUACCCGCGGCAAGACGGAAAGACCCCGUGAACCUUUACUAUAGCUUGACACUGAACAUUGAGCCUUGAUGUGUAGGAUAGGUGGGAGGCUUUGAAGUGUGGACGCCAGUCUGCAUGGAGCCGACCUUGAAAUACCACCCUUUAAUGUUUGAUGUUCUAACGUUGACCCGUAAUCCGGGUUGCGGACAGUGUCUGGUGGGUAGUUUGACUGGGGCGGUCUCCUCCUAAAGAGUAACGGAGGAGCACGAAGGUUGGCUAAUCCUGGUCGGACAUCAGGAGGUUAGUGCAAUGGCAUAAGCCAGCUUGACUGCGAGCGUGACGGCGCGAGCAGGUGCGAAAGCAGGUCAUAGUGAUCCGGUGGUUCUGAAUGGAAGGGCCAUCGCUCAACGGAUAAAAGGUACUCCGGGGAUAACAGGCUGAUACCGCCCAAGAGUUCAUAUCGACGGCGGUGUUUGGCACCUCGAUGUCGGCUCAUCACAUCCUGGGGCUGAAGUAGGUCCCAAGGGUAUGGCUGUUCGCCAUUUAAAGUGGUACGCGAGCUGGGUUUAGAACGUCGUGAGACAGUUCGGUCCCUAUCUGCCGUGGGCGCUGGAGAACUGAGGGGGGCUGCUCCUAGUACGAGAGGACCGGAGUGGACGCAUCACUGGUGUUCGGGUUGUCAUGCCAAUGGCACUGCCCGGUAGCUAAAUGCGGAAGAGAUAAGUGCUGAAAGCAUCUAAGCACGAAACUUGCCCCGAGAUGAGUUCUCCCUGACUCCUUGAGAGUCCUGAAGGAACGUUGAAGACGACGACGUUGAUAGGCCGGGUGUGUAAGCGCAGCGAUGCGUUGAGCUAACCGGUACUAAUGAACCGUGAGGCUUAACCUUAC
rnacentral:rRNA from 1 species